rnacentral:lncRNA from 1 species
AUUUAAAGCACGAAGACUUUAUUUACAGUUUUAUUUUAAUAUAAUAACCAGAUCCAAUGGACCUAACAUAAGAUGAAUUUAUGUUAAUUUUACCAACCAGCGUUCUCAUCAAUCAUAUAUAUUUUGGGGGGAAAUGUAAACAUUAUUGCCUAAAGUACCUUAUAUACAUCUGAUAGCUGACCGUGAGAAAGGACUUUAACAAUCUACAAAGGUAAAGCUGAUAAAAGGGUACCAUAUUUUGGUUUAUUUUAUUUAGCCUUAAAUUAUAUAUUAAUAUUUUUAAAUGUAAACUCAGUAAGAGCUGGUAUAAUCAACUUUUAACAUAAGUAGUCUCAUCUCUUUAAAGAAAAAAGAAAACAAAAAGUUGAGCUUUAGAUCAUUGCUAUUUCAUUGGGAAUUUCUCUAAUAUUUUAUGGGAUAUUUUAAUAGAUUCCAGGAGUUGUGAAAUAUUGUUUCCCCUUGAAAUAUUUUCCACUUGAUGAAAAUCAUUUCUCCUGGAAAAAGAAUUCUUUCAAAAGUUUCCUGAAAGCCUAUUCUUAGGAAAUGAAUUUUUUUUAAAAUCCAGUGUCUUUAAAAUAACAAAAAUACGUCAGAACACAAAUUUGAAGAAAUCACAGAAAAUAGUGCCAAUGGGUAUAUACUGAUGUGUGUGUAUCUCUUACAUAUGUAUAUGUUUAAGAGAACAAAUAUAUAUAUACGAAUAUGUAGGUAGCGCACCUACAUUUUAAUACACACACAUACCCACUUCGUUGGGUCUAAACAUGCACUAGCAAGUUAUUUUAGGGCUUCAACUCCUCAGAAAAUCUCAUUAUGUGAGGAGCGAAGUGGCUCUGCGGGGAGCAUUAUGGAAAUAUCUGGGCUUGAUUUAAUGAGGCUGUUCACAUUGGUGGAAUAUCAACUUAACAGAGAAAAGUCUACCCAGGGCGUCCAAGUUACCAAAAUGAAAAUUGGCAAUUGAGAUGAUAAGAACGUGGCUUUCUUCUGCGAAAUCACUUCAGGUAACAGAGAUAACAUUAAAUAACAUACAUUCUAUGCACCAAGAACAAUGUUUUAUGUACCGAGUCUCUUAUCCGUCUCUCCUAAUGACUUCCCUUAGCGGGUUGUUAGUACUUGACAGCAGGUCUCCAUGCGGGGAACUUUUCUCCAAUUCCACAUUCAAAGGAGGUCCAUCAGAGAGC